rnacentral:rRNA from 1 species
AAUCGAACGCUGGCGGCAGGCUUCAUACAUGCAAGUCGAACGCGAAAGGGGGCAACCCCCGGUAGCGUGGCAGACGGGUGAGUAACACGUGGGUAACCUACCCGGAGGUGGGGGAUAACCCUUCGAAAGGAGGGCUAAUACCGCAUAAUACCGUGGGGACCUCGGUCCUUGCGAUCAAAGCUGGCCUCUGUUUACAAGCUAGCGCCACCGGAUGGGCCCGCGCCCCAUUAGCUAGUUGGUGAGGUAACGGCUCACCAAGGCGACGAUGGGUAGCCGGCCUGAGAGGGCGAUCGGCCACACUGGAACUGCGACACGGUCCAGACUCCUACGGGAGGCAGCAGUCAAGAAUCUUCCACAAUGGGCGAAAGCCUGAUGGAGCGACGCCGCGUGCAGGAUGACACUCUUCGGAGCGUAAACUGCUUUUAUCAGGGACGAAUCCGUGACGGUACCUGAGGAAUAAGGGGCUGCCAAACUCGUGCCAGCAGCAGCGGUAAUACGAGUGCCCCGAGCGUUAUCCGGAUUUAUUGGGCGUAAAGCGUGAAUAGGUGGUUUAAUAAGUCAUUGGUGAAAGACCAGAGCUCAACUCUGGGGACGCUGAUGAUACUGUUAGACUUGAGGCUAGGAGAGGUAAGUGGAAUUGCCGGUGGAGGGGUUAAAUCCGUUGAUAUCGGCAGGAACACCAAAGGCGAAGGCAACUUACUGGAAUAGUUCUGACACUAAUUUCACGAAAGCGUGGGGAGCGAAGAGGAUUAGAUACCCUCGUAGUCCACGCCGUAAACGAUGAGUGCUAGGCAUUGGUAG